AUUCCUUCCCAUUCACUCUACAUAGAUACAAAUUCAGUUUCCAUUUCCUAAUUGAAAUUCAACAUCAAAAUCAAAACCAAAUUCACUUCCCUUUUGUUCUACUGUGAUUCAGACCCACCACCACCAACAACCACCGUCUGCCACCACCAUUAACACCACCCCAACCAUUAGACCACCACCCGACCCCCCACCGUCGACCACCGUAUCUCCCUGCUUCCUCUCCUCCUCCACACGUACACCCUUGCCCCUCCCCUGUUUCUUUUCUCUUUCCUUGCUCACAGCACCACCAACGCAACGCCCCACCACCGUCCAGCAUAACCACCACUGGUGCAACCCUUCCGCGCCGCCCAGCCAGCCGCCAACGGCCUUCCUCCUCCCCAGAACGGAUCGAAAACCCCACCCCCAAACUCCCCUGUUUUCUCGCCUCCUUCGCACCCCCCUCCCUUUCUUUCGUCGUUCUGCCGCCGCAGACCAGCCACCACCACCUUCGCCUUCACCGGAGAUUCCUGGCGCCACCAAACCCAGCCCCAUCUCCCCUCCUCUUCGGCUCUGCUCCGCCGUGCUCCCUCCCCUGCUCUUGACCCUUUCCCACGAGACCGAAACAAAAAUAGAAGAAAAGAGAGAAAGCCUAUUCUAAUUUUUGAAGCCUUGAAUUUUAUUUUCCCUCAAACCCAAUCUCAGAUUGGGCCAUUCCUCAAAUUGGCUUUUUGGAAAUUGGACUCGGAGCUCAGGACGAACAAACCAAGGAAAAUCCCUAGCAAAUCGCGGAGUUAGGUACUGUGGGGAACGAUGGAAAUGAGUAGUUGCGAGGAAUUUCACUUUAAUAAUAUUCACCUAGUUUAUGCUUAAAGUUAUAAUAGUUUAAUUAAGAACUUUAGUAAAUUAUGUACUUUUAUUUUGGUAAUAUAAAGGAUUAUUAUAUUAUUUUGGAGUUCUAAUAGAUUAUGAUUGAUGGUUGCCUCGUAAUUUCCAAGAGGGAGUUACGGCAGGUAAUGUCCCGACCAAAUUAGGUUGAUUCCGCUGCUAAUUAUGCUUUAAUACUUGAAUCAGAGGUCGGGGCGUUACAACUAUGAUUGUUUAGAUGUUACCUUAGCAAAUUUAAUAAUAAUAUAAUACAAAAAAAUUAUAUUGUGAAAAAAAUGCAGACAUAAUUUAAUUGAAUUAAUAAUUAACUAGAUUUAUAGCCCGUGCGAUGCAUGGGUUAAAUUCAUUUUCUAUGAGAUAUUUUUUUUUCAACUUUAAACGAUAGUUAGAAUAGUGAUGGUUUUUAUAAUCAAUGAAUAUGACCGUUUAACGGGUCUUUAUUUAUCUAUUAAAUUUUUUAAAAAUUAUCUC